rnacentral:lncRNA from 1 species
GCUUAUUUGAAUUCACCAUUUUUGCAUAAUUAGGAUGAACUAAUUUAAGUUGCAGUUAUCCUUUUAAAUGACUUAACUGAUGUCUGCUUAGAUACUCAAGGCCAUGUGAUUAGUGGAGUCAUCCUGAACAUCACUGUCUCUUAAGGUUGGAAAGUAUCAGUGAACCUUAUGAAGCCUGGAAAUAGAAGUUUCAAGCUUGACCUUUUCUCCAUUAAGGAAAAAGGGCCAUGCUUCCUACUCUGAAAGUUGAAGAGGCCAGAUACCUUCUCUCAAUGAUCACUGAAAGCUGAGAAGUGGACGACUGAUCUAGAAUCAGCCAACGGGUCCUCUCAUCCAGGGUGUUACAUUCUGAGAGCAUGGUAGAAAAUCCAAGGACACUGAGAAUCACACUUGGUGCUGAGUGUCCAGUUGUGUUCAUGGCAUCAACCUGACCAGACUGGUCCUGGGAGCUCAUCCUGGCAUGUCCUCAGCUGCCCGGCCUCUCUUGGUUCCCAUCUCUGUUCUGAGCCGGCUCCCUGUGGAGUCGCUGAGCUCUCUGAGACUCUUCUAUGAAGCUUCUCUUCUGCUUAGCAUAAAUUAUGAACCUUCUCCCUUUGCCACUGGACAUAUAAAUGGCAAAGUUUCUGCCUCCAAGAUCUAACAAUCUAAGAGGAAGAUGUUCACCAGAAAUGCUAACUGUAACGUAGGAGAUGAGGACUAUUCUGAAGUUUGGAGACUAAGUACCAGUUUCCUUGAGUGACAACCAUGAAGUUCAAGAAGGAAGAAACUUAUCUUCAGAUGCAGAGGAGGGCCCCACUUGGUUUAAGCCACUCAAAAUAAUGACAAUUCUUUGCCACUCAGAAUAAUGGCAAUUCCUUGUCAUAGUGAUUGAUACAGUUUAAGCCAAUCAGAGCAUAACAUUCCUGUAGCUACAGAGAUUGUAUCUGGGUGGUCCAAUCAGAGUGAAGCUUGGGACUUUUGUAUCAUGGUUAUAAACACUGGCCUUGGCCUUUGCUCUGCCCUUGGAUGUGAAUGUGGAGCCACCAUGAAUGCUGCUGGCAGUCAUUUUAUGAAGCCAGCCCAAGAACAAAGCCAACAUCUGAAGGCAGACAGAACUGAGAGAACUGCAGAAAAAUUGAGCCAGUGCCUGGACCAAACCAUGCCUGGACCAAGCCAU